rnacentral:misc_RNA from 1 species
GUUGACGCCGCUGACCUGUGGGAACCAGGUUGUUCCACCAUCGGUAGUGUGGAUGAUGGUCGAUAUCCCCUGAUCGGAGAUCCCGCCGACGGCAGUGCCGUUGUUG